AUUUAGUGCUUUUGCACAAGUUAAUUAUGAAGUUGGUGUCCCGUUGUUUCUCAAUGUCACGUUCUCUCUAUUUGAGUGCCUUUGAAAUUGCUAAGGGUGGGGACUGGGAAUAGAAUGAUAUGUUCAUUAAACUGCUCCACACUCUAAAGCAUGUAUAGGUAUCCAAGCUUUUACUUGCAUCUCUGUAUAUAGAGAGAAUAGUGAUGCUUAUAUGUACUCAUUAUGUAGGCUGCUCAUACUCAGAAGGACAACGAUCUGAUGUGAUGUGGGGUCUUGCAUAACUGU
rnacentral:lncRNA from 1 species